rnacentral:lncRNA from 10 species
GUGAGCCUUGCUGAUUUAAGGAGGAAGAGUGCAAAGGCCCCGAGGUCACAGCACGUAUGGUCUCCACUUAAGGAUGAGCCAGGAGGUUGCACUGCAAUGAAUGCUGCUGCACACGCUGUUGAGCUCGUGGACACUUUCCUGCUGGGUGAGGACCCGAACGUGAAAUUGCUGGGUCAUGGAUUCAAGUGCUACACAUAUUUUUGACCACAUUACUGUGACUCAGGAAGCCCAGGAACAGAAUUCUAGGCACCAGAACCAUACAUGUUACAGCCUCUGAGCUUUAUGGCCUCUGAGCCAUUUGUCCAGCCACAUCAUUUGCAGAUGAGAUCCUGAGACUCAGGCUGGAAAAGUGACCGGGGAAAAGUCACACAAGUCAGAGGCAGAGCUGGAGUUUCCUCAUUUCCAGGCCCGUAUAGAUCAAGACGGACGUUGGUCAAACACCUCCUAGUACUCACAUGAAGAAGCUCUCCUUUCUGCUGUAGGAAUGAUCACACACCAUUCCAAUCUGGAUACCAAAUGUCAUUGUUUAUUAAAUGUGUGCAGUGUGCCAGGCAUAUUGUGUCAUAUGUUUACAUGUGUCAUAUAUUUACAUUACAUAUGAUCGCUGGUUCUUACAACAACCCUUCAAGACAGGUCAUAUCAAGCCCAUUUUUCAGACGGGAAAAAGAGCUCAGAGGGGAUGAUUAGCUUGUUCAGGUUUUCCAGUUUCCUUAGGAAGUGGCAGAGCUGGAUCUGAACUCUGCUUGUGACUACUUGGGGGAUGGAGGAGUGAACUCCUUUUUAUCAGAUCCUGGCUGCUUCGGCACCAGAAGAAUGCUUCUUCCCCCUCAGGCCCUGGGGGGUUCCUCUAAAGAAUAGAGACUCCCGGCUUUCCAUGAGACAAAAAGCAGGCAAUUCAACACGGCAAGCCCUUAAUAUACCUGCACGUUUCUCUGUAAGGACUGAUUUAGAAAGCGGACUCACAGCCACUGCACUGAUAGCAGUUUCUAUUCUAAAACCUAUGGAAAUUGUGAACACUUGCCCCCAAAAACUCUCCCAGAAACCUUUAGGACAGUGAGGCUGUGUUCAGAAACUAAUUGCACCCAUAUCUGAGGAGCUACCACAUGAACUUCAUUAUUCACAGAA